rnacentral:rRNA from 1 species
UACGUAGGGGGCGAGCGUUGUCCGGAAUCAUUGGGCGUAAAGCGCGUGUAGGCGGCUUGGUAAGUCCGGUGUGAAACCUUGGGGCCCAACCCCAAGCCUGCACUGGAUACUGCCUCGCUUGAGUCCGGGAGGGGAGAGCGGAAUUCCUAGUGUAGCGGUGAAAUGCGCAGAUAUUAGGAAGAACACCGGUGGCGAAGGCGGCUCUCUGGAACGGUACUGACGCUGAGACGCGAAAGCGUGGGGAGCGAACAGG